rnacentral:rRNA from 1 species
AUUGAACGCUGGCGGCAGGCCUAACACAUGCAAGUCGAGCGGUGCGGCGGACGGGUGAGUAAUGCCUAGGAUUCUGCCUGGUAGUGGGGGAUAACGUCUGGAAACGGGCGCUAAUACCGCAUACUCUCAGAUGAGCCUACGUCGGAUUAGUUGGUUGGUGGGGUAACGGCCUACCAAGGCGACGAUCCGUAACUGGUCUGAGUGGAUGAUCAGUCACACGGGACCUGAGACACGGUCCAGACGCCUACGGGAGGCAGCAGUGGGGAAUAUUGGACAAUGGGCGGAAGCCUGAGCCAGCCAUGCCGCGUGUGUGAAGAAGGUCUUCGGAUGGUAAAGAACUUUAAGUAGGGAGGCGUUACCAACAGAGUAAGCACCGGCUAACUUCGUGCCAGCAGCCGCGGUAAUAC